rnacentral:misc_RNA from 1 species
GAUGAAGAACGCAGCGAAAUGCGAUACGUAAUGUGAAUUGCAGAUUUCAGUGAAUCAUCGAAUCUUUGAACGCACAUUGCGCCCGCCAGUAUUCUGGCGGGCAUGCCUGUUCGAGCGUCAUUUCAACCAUCAAGCCUUCGCUUGUGUUGGGGCCCCGCGGCUGCCGCGGUCCCCUAAAUCCAGUGGCGGGCUCGUCGUCGUACCGAGCGCAGUAGACAUCCUAGCUCCGGGAACCCGACGGGUGCCGGCCGUGAAACCCCCCACAUCAAGGUUGACCUCGGAUCAGGUAGGAAUACCCGCUGAACUUAAGCAUAUCAAUAAGCGGAGGA